rnacentral:lncRNA from 1 species
AUGAUUGUGAGGAAACAUUUUCACUAAGUAGAUUUUAGCUAGAUAGCAAUUGUAAUAUUUGCAUUCUCAAAGUCGUUAGUGGAGCAUGUGUGGUUUACCGGCACACUAACCUGGACUUGUGAGAAGUGGCAAAAAGGUCUAACCAUUAUGAUUACGGCAUACCUCUUCAUAAUUGUUUAGACACACAAGUGUGCUAUCUAAGGGAAGGUGUAUGAUUUUGAUAAAGUUUUAUCAAAACAAUCUAGUAUCAGAAAUCUGAACUUUGGUAAGAAAGUCAAUGAAGUAUUGAUUUCUAGAAGUCCAGCUGAUUUCUGAGUACAUGUCAAAGCUAGUGGGAGCAUAAGUGUUAUGCUAAUAAUCAUCAUGUUAGUGGGAGCAUGAUAAUUAUGAUAAGUAUUGCAAGUUAGCAAUGUUAAUUAUAGAAAACAAAAGUUUCAAUUGGGAAAGAGUUGUUUUGCUAUAAUUAAGGGAGAGGAAAUUAUACUUCAUCUCAAAUCUAUAAGCUUAGAUCGUGAGGUUUUAAUCAUUUAGUCAAAUAUAUAUAUGAAUUUCAUGUUGGAAUGGCUCAACAUAAGGAAAUUCUGUAUAUGGAUCCAUUAUUUGCGUUCUAAAAUUCGAUUAUGAUUACGACAUCCCUUUUCAUAAUCUAAAUUAUGAGAACAUGGCAAAUAGAAAUGGAAGUGUUAUAUAAAAUGACUGGUUUAGUCUUUACGUGAGACAUCAUGACUCGUGUCCCAUAUGCUUUGGAUAUAAGAUCGAUUACAUGUGCUAUAUUCAUCCUUUCUAAAAUUUUCCAAAUGCCUGGGGCAUUAAGUAGGGAAAAGGUUUAGAACUGGAUAUGACUAAAAGGAUUAAACAAUUGUCUAGGACAAUCUAAGGUUUAGCAAAGAUUGGUUGCUCAAGGACACCUGGAAGUAUAGUGUUAAUUCUGGAAGGACCAUAUUGACAUAAUCUGUAAGGAGGCAACUCCUGUACAGAAGUGAUAGUCAAAAUGGAAUAUGGAAAUGCUUCAAAGUUAGAAAGUAUUCAAUCUGUAAGAUUAGAAGGAUGUUUCCAAGGAGUUUAUCUCUUUUGGAAUACUUUGCAAUGAUUGUUGCCAAGUCUUUGUGAAUUUGUGCAUAAUCAUUACAAGAGGAUCAAUGCAUAUAAGUUUAGAAUCUAACAUAUUUAUGUAAAUGCCAUGAAUUUGGAAUUCUUGCAUUUGCGGUAAGGAUUUGGGACUGUGAAAUGAGAAUCAUUGGAGUGAUGUCCAAUCGAUCGUGUUCACAAAGUAAGGAUCAUAGACAAACAUAGAGUGCUUACUUGGUGUAUGGCAAAGCUAUUGUUUAAGAAAAACAUAGUGUACAUGCUUGGAGCAUGGGACAACUAGUGUUUUUAAUUCAAGUAUAAAGUUGAUAAAACCGAAACAAUGAAUAAUGAGUAAUCAGUAUGGUGAUAAAUAAAAGUGUUUAUUUAUAUUCAUAGGGUUUGAUACCAUAUUAGAUUCAUUUAUUCUUGUGUUUCACUUUGCAUGUUUUGACUUCCAGAAUAACUAGGUUACUCUUUCGGAAUGACUAAGUUAUUCAAACAAUCCACAGUUGGUCAUAUGUUGGAAGUAGAUAUGAAUCAAGACUGUCAUGGGUUGGCUUGUAGAGGUCCAAGUUGGUGGACAAAGUUGUGCUACAACACUCAUGAGUGCUCAUAAGUUCUGAGUAUUGGAUUCAACCCGCGCUCAUUGGAAUCACUUCAUGGAUUUUAUCACGAGUGAUCAUGAGACGAUAAUAUCUUAUAUUCUUCAAACCUAGAGAUAUGAGUUGUUACUAUGAGUUGAUAGUACAUUGAUUGCACGAAAACGCAUUUGUAACCUCGGUGCUAUAAAACGUGCCUUUGUGUAUGAUUCAACAAGUAGUAGAACAAUCCAUAUGAGUCGAAGUUUAUCCAUUCCUUUUACCUUCGGGAUAAAAGCGAUAUUUGUGGGCCCCUCGAUGAUUUAAUGAUGACACAUCUGAGUGCUUGGCCAAGCCAGGACUGAUUUGAUUUGUUCAAUCAGUCAGUCGUCAUGAAUCGGAAAUCGGGAAACAACAAAUGGACAGAGAGAAUAAUUAUAAUCCAUGUCUCACUGUAUAUGAUAUCUAGAAUGGAGGAAUAUAUGAUCCAUUAUCUAAUGGAAAAGUUCGUUGACAAGAUCAGAGUUCGACAGCGACUUUAAGAGCUACGAGUGCCAGAUGCGUUUUGAAGUCAUACUCAAUAAGGUUUUAGACUUAUCCAAGUGGGAGACUGUUGGAUUAAUGUCUAAGUCCAUAACUAUAUUUGGUAUGUACUUGACCCGACCCGGCAUGGUCCAUUUGGGUUGCACUUCACCGACACAAUUUAUAUGGAUAAUCUUUUGAGAAUAGUAUGUUUAUGAUUAAUAUUAAUAUAUUAUAAGUUCUAAUAUAUUAAUAUGGAAUCAUAUUAUUUAAUUAGUAUUGAUCAAGAAUUAAUUUAUAAUUAAUUAAGUGAUCAAAAGGAACUAAUUAAAUAUGGACUCUUAUAUAUAUGGAAUGGGCCAAGUUCAUUUAGGUUGGGCUAAGCUUUCAUGGAUAGUCCAUGGAGUGUUUAACCCAUGGAUCCUAGGAAAUGAAAGGUCAUGGGUAUUAGGGUUUAACCCUAAUCCUCCAUACUAUAUAAAGAUGUCUUUGGUUGGUGAAAUUGGCACUAGUGUGGAUACACUAAAGAAGGGCUAGCCAAUUUCACUAGAGAGAACCAAGUAAUCAUAUUCUCUAAAGUAUUCCAAGGUGUCUUGGUGAUUUGUGAUUCCACUUGAGGCUUCCACACUAUUGGGGCUAAGCUCUUAAAGCUUGAAGACAUCAAGCUACAUCAAGAGGUAUGUAUUCUAUCUUGUUACAUUCAUAGUUUUUGUAUGCUAGAUUAGGAUAAUACCUUGGAUGUUCUUAUUUGCAUGUAUAAUAGAGAAAACAUAGAUCCAAGGUAUUUAGGGUUGCAUGUACACUUAGGAAGUGUUAGAAUGCUCAAAACCCAACAGUGGUAUCAGAGCCACGGGUUGUUUUCUGUUAUAUUGAUGCAAAUAUUUUAUUUUCAAAGUUGAAAAAAAAAAAAAAAAAAAACAUGAAGUUUGUCAAAUUUUAAGAUAAUUACUUGUUCUUGUGAAAAACUAAUUAUUUGUAAAAUUUGAAUAAUUUGCUUUAUGAGUUGAAUUAGGUCAAAUUUAAUAAAAGAUAAAAUAAUAUGAUUAUUUUAUUAGUUUUAAAAGUUUGAUCUAAAGAGUUUUAUUUUUUGAAACCUCCAUAAGUUAUGGAUAUGAAAAGGUUUUAAAAAAAAAAUUGAUUCAAAGUUUUUUUGGAGUUACAAAAUUUGGUGUUAAUGUUUUAAAGGAUUCCAUAACUUAAGAAUAAGUUAUGGAUCACCAAAAGUUUUUUGUGUUACCUUGUUUUAUGAGUGAAUUUAGAUUAAUGAAUAAAAUUAUGUGAUAGUUGGUUUUAAUCCAAAUUAAUCUAAGAAUUGAUUCUAAAAUGUGUUUUUGUAACUUGUCCUCAAGUUAUAUGAAAAGUCACAUUUAAGAAUCAUAAAACUCAUAAAAGUUGGCAAAGGUUACAAAAAUGAAGAGUCUAGUUCUAAUUAAAUGGUUUUAUGACUCCAUAACUUGUCCUCAAGUUAUGGAGGACCAAGAGUCUCUUCAUUUAAUAAAAUAAAAAAAAAAAAAAAAAGGUGUAACCUUAAUUAAUUCCAUAAGUUAUAAAAUAAAGAAAAGUUAAUUCUUUUAUUAGUUUAAAGUCUUCCAUAACUUGUCCUCAAGUUAUGGAACUUGAAGAGUUUUUGGAUUAAAACUACUUUAAACACAUAAGUUAUGGAAUUAAUUAGUUUUGAAUAGUUUCAAAACUUGCCCUCAAGUUUUGGAAUUUGAAAAGUUUUCACUUAUGAAUACUUUAAUUCCAAGUUAGCCCUUAGAAUUUUAAAAGUUAAAAUUCAACCCUUAUACUUUAUAAUAUUAUAAGUUAAUAAUAUUUAUAUAUAUGUAUAAGAGUAAAGUCAGUCUUACCGUUAGUAGGCCUCAUUCACGAAGCCGGUCUAUAAGGGGGGUAUAAGGUUACUGCCUAUAAAAUGGCAGUUUAAUGGGUGUCCACUCUCACCCACCGCUUCCUUGACUGGUGGAGGGUCGUUAGCCGAACGGGUUUGACAGGACUAUAAUUCUCCCUUCAUUAAAAGUAUUAAUGAUAAAUACUAAGUAACUAAACUCUUAAUAAUACCCAAUCUUAGUUACUUAGGAAAAUGUGAAUAAGGUGCUAAUCCAUGAAAUUACACUUUGCACUUUGUUUAAGUCGGUUAGUGGAGCGUGUGUGGUUAACCGGCACACUAACUCGUAUUUAACAAGGUAGGCAAAGGGUAACUUAAUGUUUAUCAUAGUAUCGAUGGAGCGUGUGUGGUUAACCGGCACAUCGAUUGAGGGGUAAACACUUAAGGGUACCAAGUAAUUUGCAUGGUUACUUCACACCUUGUUUUGUGAUCCUCGGCAUCCCAGUCACAAAACCUGAAGGGCACACUCGAGAUUGAAACAUGCCAUUGAAAGUUCAAUGAAUCUCAAAGAUCUAGGAAUUUCAAAUCCAAUUAAAACCUAAUUAAUUAUUUCGUUUUUCAUGGUGGAAAUUGGUGAAUCGUCAUUCACCUACCUUCAAAUAUUCUAUAGCUUGGAUUACGGCAUCCCUCUUCCAAGUUAUAAAAUAGUUUGUUGGGUCCUAGCCUUAAUAUUUCAUAUUGGGUGUUAUAUUAAGGACUUUAAAUCAACUAUCUUGAAUAUCUCCCAAAAGAUGUCUAGUUCAGACAUCUAUGAUCUUCCCAAAUAUCUUGGAACUUCACUUCCUCCACCUCCUCCAAUUAUUCUCCCUAACCCACAAGUUCAAGGUCACUCAAGCCCUAUUGGCAAGGCAAGGUCUAGGUGUGAUCACAUCUUGGAGAUGAAGUCACAUACUGACAAGCCGGGAGAGUUGGGUGUCAAAGUCUUGAGAAAGUUAAUGCUUCAAUAACUUUCUACGUCACAUAGUGAGUUCCUUUGGGACUCCUAUGAAAUAGACUAUGACAAGACCCUUAAUGAUCUUAUCUAUUUGCUUGGUGUUGCUAAAUCAGAAAUGAUUUAGUGUACUAGUAAAGCAAAUUUGAUUAGGAGAUCAACUUCCCAAAACUUUAUGGACAUUGACAAUGGUGACAUAGGAAAUCCAGAAAUUCAUUAUCUUCCCAAUGGAAAGGGAUUGGCCAUAGUCAACUUCGUUGACCAAAUGGUAAAGAGAAAGGCUAAGUCUGAGAUAGUUCCAUGUACCAUUAUCAAAUGGUCCAUAUGUUUAUAUUGCCAAAGGAAGGGGCUUUGGUUACGAAGCUGCCAAACUUACCUAAGGAUGGUAAAGUCAAUAAGUUUGACUUUAUUUCAGGUAAAUUCCAUUGUCUAACUCUAUUAAGUUCCUACUUGGAGAUUCUUAUUACAUGAUGUGGCUGGGUCACAUGUUGAUGUUUUAAGAAUCAAAGAAAAGUAAAGAAACUUAAAGAAAGUAUAUGCUGAUUCUGAUCGCGAAGAUGGAUUUCAAUCGCAUGGUUCGGUGAUCAGAUUUUUGAGCAUGUGCUUAAGAGUUAUGAUAUUGCUUAGGAAUAGAUGACAACAAUUUUUCAUAUAAAUUUGCAUUGUAAGGAUUAGUUUUUCCGCAAAUUUUUUAAAUAAAAAGAAAAGUUUUUAAUUUUAUUUAUUUUAAAAUAUCCUUACAAUGGCAUUUGUAGAAAAAGGAAAAGAUGUUGCUUAUAUGAUUUCAUUGAUAGCAAUAUUGGAAAUAUGAAUUUGAUUCUUUCAUUUGUGGUAGUGUCUAAAUUUACCAAAUAAGGAAAGAUUCUCAUCCCCCAAGUUUCAGUUGGAUAGAAACUUGGAAUCAUGCAAGUUGUAUAGUAUGAUGAAUGAGAACUUUCGAGCAUUGGAAAAUUAAGACUAACUGCUUGUUCACAUGGAUGUGUGAGUGAAGAGAAGGACUAAGGGAUCAAGUACACUUUCUUGUGCACUUGUUAAAGUCCACCACAAAAGAUGGAUAAGACUAUUCGUCAUGAUUUACUAAGGUUUGGUAAAUAUGAUUAUACUUACGAGCUUAAGCAUAAUUCUGAAGCAUUUGAAAAUUUUCAAUGUAUGACCUUAUCAAAAUUCAUGUUUUAGGAUCAUCUUAAUGAUUUUGAGACCUUAUCAUGUUUUAAGAUCAUCUUAAUGAUUUUGAGACCUUAUCAAAAUUCAUCCUCUAAGUACAUUCUGAUAGCUAAGAAGAGGAGUUAUGAAUUGUUAGAGUUAUACUCUAAGAUUGUUAUACUCUAAGAUUGUAACUUGAGUGACAUAUCUUAAAGAAGGUUUAAAACACUUGUCAAAUGUAAGAGUAAAAGUUUUCUACUCUUCUACAUUUGAAAUUGGUAAGUUGUGAUGUUUUGGAUAAAACAAAGAUCAACUAAGGCCAAUUAUGUGAAGUGUUUGUCUUGAUUAGAAUCCACACUAUCUCUUGAAUAUUUGGCAAGAAAGUCUUAUAGGUCAAGGAGACAGUGGGAGUCAAAAAGAUCCUAAAAGGGUUUCAAGAAGUAAUCAAGAACAAAAACCUGAAGUUCUUCACUAGCACACGACUUGAGGUUUAUAACCUAUCAUGUUGACAUAUUUUGUGCCCAUUCCAGUUAAAGUUGGCUUUGCAUAUAAGUUCUUAGAGUUCUCAAUUGGUUGCACAACAACUUGGAAGCAAUGGCAGACCCUUGAGCUGCCAGGUGGCAAGAAAUUAAGAUUGAGUUCAGUCCAUAUGAGUUUGGAUUUGUGUUAGUCCCAAAACUGAGGAUCUAAUUUAGUAAACAAUGAAGUUAAUUGCAAUUAAAUUGAGAUUGAGAUGAAGAAGAAGUAGAAUCAAGGAUGCACACAUCUAUUGCCAUUAAAUGUCAAGUACAUCUUGAUAAAGUACAACUACUGCAGAGUUCUGACACAAAGCCAAAAAGUACAAACUGACAUAACUCAGUUGCUUUAAAUAGUACUCCUUCUACCCGCACAAGAGUGUGCAGCCGAACACAUGAGUGCGGCCGCACACACUGUGUGCGGCCGCACACACAUGUGUGGCAGCACACAUUAGAAGACAACACACAAUUAGGGAUGAAAGUGGGUCCAAACCCGGACCGGAUGGACCAGGACCCGGAAAACCCGGAACCGNGAACCGGAAACCGGACCGGUAUAUAGGAACCGGUUCCGGUUCGGUUCCGGGUAUGGUUCCGGGUAAAGUGGGUCUAGAACCGGAAAACCCGGAAACAUCAAAGUGGGUAGGUUGGAACCGGAUAAAGUGGGUUUAGAAUCGGAAAACCCGAAAAAACCGGAAUUUUUUGGUAAUUACUUAUUACUUAGUGGGUUGAACUUUGAAAAUUUUCAUAUUGAUAUCCCGACUUUGGGGGGCUGUAACUUAUUGAAUACAAAACCACAAUUAACAAAAUUAGAGUCUAAAAUCAUGUACAAAGUCUAAAAUACACUCUGAAAAACCCGCAUGUCAAUCCGACUUUAAACGAAUGAGAUAUGCUUGUGUUAGUAUUUUCACAUAAUACAAAGUACAAAAACAAAUAGCUGAAAAGUUGAAAAUUUUCAGUUUUGAUAUCCCUACUUCGGAGGAAUAUAAAUCAUUGAAUGUUUAACCAAAAAUGACAAAAUUAUAGUCUAAACUCAUGUACAAACUGUAAACUAGAAGUUGGAAAAAACCACAUGUCAAUCCGACUUCAAACGAAUUAGAUAUGCAUGUUUUAAAACUUUCACCGAAUACAAAAAAACUAAAAAACUAAAAACUUCCAGCUUUGAUAUCUCGACUUUUGAGGACUGUAAGUCAAUGAAUAUAAAACUAAAAAUGACAAAUUUAUAGUCUAGAAUCAUGUACAAACUCUAAACUACAUGUUGGAAAAAACCGUAUGUCAAUUGGAGUUGAAACGAAUAAGAUAUGCAUCUUGUAAACGUAUCACAAAAACCGGUUCCGGCCCUAAAAGUGGUUCCGGUUCCAAAAACCGGUUCCGGAUUUUAGACCCGGUUUACCAGGACCCAAGGACCCAAACCCGGAUUACCCGGAACCCGGAUAAAGCCAAUUUUUAAACCCGGAACCGGACCCGGUUCUAUAUAUUCCGGUUCUAAUGGGUCCNCGCACACAUUACAAGACAACACACAAUCACUGCAAAAAUGACACUAUCACCUAUACAAAAUGAUGCCUAGCUCAAACCACAAAAUUAUGUUCUUUCAGUCUCCCCCUUGGUUUGAGACUAGCAUAGUCUUAUCUUCACUCCUUUAGCUCCUCAGCAGGCUUCUCAAACAACCUCAGAUCUGAUCUCCCCAUCGAUCCCAUCUACAAUCUUCCAUUUCUGAUCGUAGCCACCAUUGCAGUGUAUUCUUUAGCAGCAACUUCCAUUACAUCUUUUCUGUAGAUUAUCUAGUGACGAGCCAGAGUCCAGAUAUCCCUUUCUCGAAAACGAAGAAGAUCUUUUGCAUUAAUCAGCCUCUAAUCAUGUUCUUGAUCCUUGAAUUUGAUAGCAGCAGUUGCAGUUUCGUCAUCGUAUGCCCAAAAUUCCAUAUUGUCAAGAUAUCCCUCCUGGAAGUGCUGAGGGAUUGGAUUUUCUUUUUGCUUUUUUGUAGCAAGCCAUAAAAUAAUCUUCAUAGGUUUGCCUGUUUCUGGGUCGAGAACAUCCUUAUCCUUUCGAUAAAGGGCUUUGGCAGUCUUCAUACUGGGAAAAUUUUCUUUGACCUGCCUAUCAAGGAACCUCUUAAAGUUAGAUGCACUUGGAUCUUGCGAGGGAUUGUGAAAGGUGACCCUAGAUAAUUCUUCUAGAUUAGUCUUAGUCCAAGAAUUGAAAUCAUGGGUGCUUUUGUAACACUCAGAUAUUCCUGAGUUUCGCUUUACCACCCAUAAAUUCGUUUCUGGAUCGAAAGCCCACAUACGGAUACCAGAUCUGUCACCAUACUCGUCGCCAAACUUUCUCUUUUUCAAAUCUAUUACAGUCAGAACAGGGCCUUUUGCUUUGAGAUUUUCAUUGGCAUUAUCAUGAAUAAAAGUCCUUUACGUUGAUUUGCAGUCACAAUUCUUUUGCCCUGUUUGAUUGUGAUUCUGGUUCUACUUCCUUCUGGUUCUUUUUCAAAUUUGUUGACAAUUGUAGUUGUUCUUGGAGCAGGUGGGUCAACAGGUAGAUCAUCAGUUGUAGGAGGUGAUUGAGCAGAAGGAGGAUCAACUACUCCAUGAGGCUGUUGGAAGAGGGCUUUGACUUUUUCACCAAAAGCAUCAUACAAUACGUUCUUGAGAUUGAAAUAAUUAGGUAGAACAGAUCCACGACUCGUUUGUAGAUCCUUGAUCUGUUUGGUCUUUUCUUCAUCCUUUGCCCUGAGCUCAAAGAUAUAUGCAGAAAGCUUAUCCAUUUGAAUUGACUUUUCAAUGAGCUGUUGGCGAAGAACUCCAAUCUCGAAGAUCAGACGAAGAGAAUUCGUCAUCAUCUGUCCGACCCUCGUUAAAUGAUAUUCCUUUCCUGCGUGAAGAGGUUGGACUAGAUUGAGCCAGAUGUCUUACUAAUCUGAUAGAAGCUUCAUCUAGAGAAGGUUGAGUUGGAGAAUAUUCUGGAAUAGAAGAGGAUCCACCAGUCUCGAACAUGGUACUUGGACCUUCAUUAGUCUGCUUUGGAGGAGAGUGAGCAGAGAUUGUAGUGAUUGUUGAAAUAACUUGAGGAGCACAUUUUACAGAAGGUAUCACCAGACUUUCAAGAGGUUGGCUUGUUCUUAUGGAUGUCUGAGAAGUCUGAGGUUCAGAUAAGUCAGAAAUAAUUGGAGCUGAUGUUGAGACAAGUGACACAGAGGGAGGAAUCUCUGAUGUCACAUCUCCUUGGUUUGUUGUGACCUCCAAGGGCUUUGAGUUAGAGAGUAGAAUUAUGGGAAAAUUUCCUUCAUCUCUAGUCUUGGUUGCUAGAGAAGCAACUUCAUUGAGUUUAUUUACACGGCUGCUGGGAAUAUCAAGAAAAGGAUCAAAAUAUUCAUCACCAAAAUCAAACUCUAUGAUUGUUGGAAUGUCGUCAUUGAUUCCUGUAAUGUCGAUUUCAUUCAAAAACUCCACAUCUUCAUAAAUAUAAUCGUCAUCAUCCCCUCGAGAAGAUUUUGAAUCAUUUUCUUUUUGAUAAUCAUGCUCAUCAGCUACAUAAGCUGUGGGAGAGUGACGAAUCUCCUCCACUUCAGGCUCGGAGGGAGAGUGAUGAAUAUCUUCAUUUUCCAUUUGCGUAGAUUGUUCUUCUGAUUCUUCUCUAUCAUCCUCUUUGAAAAUUCCAAAUUUUAUCAAUGGGAAUUUUCCUUCAAAUACAAAUUUCCCGCCCCUCUUUUGUUUCAUUAGCCCAAAAGCACUUGGACCAAUGGAUUUGAAAUCCAAGAUAUCAUUUCCUUUCUGCAGCUCGGGGUGAUUCACAUUAAGGAUGAUUUGCAAAAAUCUUGGAUACAUCCAGAAUUUGUCCCUUUUGCUCCCUUCAAGAUUUAAAAUCAUUUCAUUCAUUAUGAAUUUGGAGAAAUUAAAUUCAAAACCUGCUGCCAAUGCUGCAAUGGCACCAGUGUUGGCCAGAGAAAUCUCGUUUGCUCCUGAUCUUCGGCCGGAUAUGCAGCUCACAAACACAUGAGCUAAGUACUUCCAACAAGGAGGAAGCAGCUUCUUAGUUGUAGGAGGAAAAGUUACCUUGUAUCCCAUAUGCUCUAAUACUUCCUGAGUUUGUUGAAUAUCAAUCUCCAUGGAGUACUCAGGUGUGUCCUCAAUUUGGAGAGAUUCUCUAAUAAUGCAUUUUGUUACUUGAAUUUUCUUGUCUUCCAUUGUUGCUUCAACGAAUUUUUCACCCUGACCAUUCUUCUUUACAACAGCAUUCCUCCAGAAUUCCUUAAUCAAACUUUGGUAGAUAGCAGGACUUGUAGUUAGAGCAUGAACCAAACAGGAUUUCUUCAAGCCAUCCACAAUGAAUUUCAAGUCAUUGUGGACUGCAGGAGGGUCUUCGAGAAAAAUUGCAGAAUUAUGAGCUUUAUCAAAUUCCAUGUCUCCCAUGUUAAUCUGAAAGUUAACACACAAAUUUAUUAGGUCAAAACAAUAAAAAUGAAGCAGCACACGAGAUUUCACACAACCACACAUGAGAAUACACACAGCCGCACACGUGCAAGUGUGCGGCCGCAACCGCACAUCCACAAAAUCAUGCAGCCGCACACGCCUGUGUGCGGCCGCACACACCGUGUGUGGUUAUUUUCGAAGACAAACAAUUUUUUUAUGAAGAUCCAGCAGCAAACAAUCAAGAUUCAACAGCAAACAAUGAAAGUUUUCACCAAGUUCAUAGGAAUUUACCGAGUCAAAGCCUUGAAUUUUAAAUGAGAUUAAGAGAGAAACAGCACGCGUGUGCGGUUGAGGCAAAAGUAAAUGACGGUGAAAAAGGCUCACCGCACACACGCUAUAUAUAUGCACAUAAUUUACACUUUCUCCCCCUUGUCCUUUAAUUAUUUAUCCCAAAACCCCUUUCACUCACAAUUUUCUCAAAGAUGAAUUAUUUUGAGGAUUAAUAUAAUAUUAAUUUCAAAGUUCUAAAAAAAUUUAAAAUAAAAAAUAUAAAUUAAAAGAUAAAUAAUAAAAUGAGGUUGAAAAUACUAUUGACGACAAGAAUCAAUUUAAACCUAUAUAAAUUGUCUUAAUCUGUUGAGGUUUAGGGAUCAAAGUUUUUAGACAACCAUUAUCCGCUUGUCGGUACCUUUCAUAUUCACAUCUUUGUCUGGUUGAUUGUCGGUAUUGUUGUCCACUUAAACACAAAAAAUUGUGACAAAAUUAGGACAUACUAUAAGUGACAAGACAAUGUGAUCUUAAAUUCCUAGAUAUUAUAUCUGAUCCUAAGUUACUAGAUACUAUAUCUUAGGGACCAUUCAGUUGAAGACGACCAGGGAUAUUGUUGUCCACCUAAAUUGAGCAGCGAGAUCUAUAGACAAUCUGUAUGUGUUCAGUUUUAAGUGUACUAGAAUGUGUUUCCCGCUUCCUGAUAUGCCCCAGCCAUCAAGAACUUCCAGAGUACUCCUUACACCGGGUGAGCAGACAACCAUUCAGAGAGAGGAUAGAUUCAGAAUUCUAUUACUUAUUAUUUAUUUCUUCAGAGGGGUUGAGAAGUAGAAGGUUGCAUAUGCUGUGUACCAGGUCGGAUUAGAAGUCGCGCAGAGGAGACAACAUAUGGCUAACAGAUAAGAAGUCUUUCACAUAUAUAACCUGCAGAGAAAUAGAGUUGCAUAUGUUGUGUACCAGGUCGGAUUGGAAGUCACGCAAAGGAGACAACAUAUGACUAACAGACGGAAAGAAAGAAAAUGAUAUUCUAUAGACCUAAUUUAUCAGAAUUUACCAGUCGCCCCAUCCAAUCGGAAUUAAGGACAGAAUCCGCACAUUGAGGAAAAGUUAAACCACGGUUCCAAGUACGGGUUCAUGACGAGUAGAUUCCCAUAUAUAUCUCCCUGCCCAACCUAUCCAAGCGUCGUAUUGUCAGGCUAAAUGGAACUAUCUAUGUCAAGAUUUGUCAACUCAUUUGAUUUCCUAUGUUCAAUUCUGCCUAGUCAUGUCCAUUUAGAAUCUUUCGUGCCUACCGACACAUCAAACCAGAGCAUAGACCCUUCAACUUUGGGUACGUUACACAGACUCAGGUUGCCUGUUAUCACAUGAUCAUAUCACUUCCCAGAACAUCUCCCUCAAACAUAAUUUCUAAUUUUUAAUGUUUUUUUUGGAUUUUCUAUUUUUAAUGUUUUUGGAUUUUCUAUUUUUUAAUGUUUUUGGAUUUUUUUAAUGUUUUGGAUUUUCUAUUUUUCUCCCCCUAAAUUUGUGCAUAAAAAAAUAAAAUAAAAUGCGCAAAUUUAUACUAAAAAUUAAUCCUCAAAACGAAUCAUUUUUAGAAAAUUAACCAGCACAUCGAAUCGAGCUUUGUUAAAAGGCUUGGUGAACAGAUCUGCUACAUUAUUAUCAGAGCUGACCUGUUCUAGCCGAAUGAGCAAACGCUCAUAACAUUCUCGAAUAAAAUGAAUCUUGAUGUCGAUGUGCUUGGUUUUUGAGUGCUGGACCGGGUUUUUAGCAAUUUGGAUCGCAGCCUCAUUAUCACAAAAAAUAGGGGUUUCUUGAAAAUUCAAACCGUAGUCCAACAACUGAUGUUGGAUCCAAAUGACUUGAGAACAAUAAGCAGAUGCAACAACAUAUUCCGCUUCUGCUAUUGAGGUUGAGACUGUGUGCUGCUUCUUGCACUGCCAUGACACCAGUCUAUCUCCUAGAAAUUGACAUCCUCUGGAUGUCGAUUUUCUAUCAAGCUCACUCCCGCCAUAAUUGCUAUCUGCAAAAGCAUAAAGAUCAAAUUCGGGAUUUUUCGGAUACCAAAGACCCAGUUUUGGGCAACCUUUGAGAUACCGAAAAAUCCUUUUAACAACAAUUAAAUGAGAGAGUUUAGGAUUAGCCUGGUAGCGAGCACAUUGACAAACCACAAACAUGACGUCUGGGCGACUAGCAGUAAGAUACAUGAGUGAUCCGAUCAUUGAUCGAUAAUGAGUUUGAUCUAUGGAUUCACCCUCAAGAUCAGGAGUCAGAAGAGGUCGUUCCACCAUGGGUGAAAGAGCAGGUUUUGCGUCUUGAAAUCCGAACUUCUCCAGUACAUCUUCCACAUAUUUUCCUUGAUGAAUAAGGAUUCCGGUUGAAGAUUGUUUGACCUGAAGCCCCAAAAACGUGGUCAUUUCCCCAACUGAACUCAUCUCAAAGCGCUUCUUCAUCACCGCUUCAAACUCCUUGCAAAGUUGUUGGCUUGUCGACCCGAAAAUGAUGUCGUCCACAUAAAUUUGAAUGAGAAUUUGAUCUGGACCGACAUGCUUGAGAAAUAAGGUUUGAUCAAUGGUGCCUCGGGAAUAGCCGUGAUUGAGCAAAUGCUGAGUAAGAGUAGCAUACCAAGCUCGAGGAGCUUGAUGCAAUCCAUACAAAGCUUUGUCUAACUUGUAAACAUGGUUUGGAAGAGAUGAGUUAACAAAACAAGGUGGUUGGUCAACGUAAAUCUCCUCCUUGACCUUGUCGUACAAGAAAGUCGUCUUGACGUCCAUUUGGUAUACAGUAAAGUUCAUGUAGAAAACUUUGAUACCAAUUGUUAGUCCCAAAACUGAGGAUCCAAUUUAGUAAACAAUGAAGUUAAUUGCAAUUAAAUUGAGAUUGAGAUGAAGAAGAAGUAGAAUCAAGCAUGCACACAUAUAUUGCCAUUAAAUGUCAAGUAUAUCUUGAUAAAGUACAACUACUGCAGAGUUCUAACACAAAGCCAAAAAGUACAAACUAACACAACUCAAUUGCUUUAAAUAGUAUCCUUCUACCAGCACAAGAGUGUGCAGCCGAACACAUGAGUGCGGCCGCACACACUAUGUGCAGCCGCAAACACAUGUGUGGCAGCACACAUUACAAGACAACACACAAUCACUGCAAAAAUGACACUAUCACCUAUACAAAAUGAUGCCUAGCUCAAACCACAAAAUUAUGUUCUUUCAGUCUCCCCCUUAACUAUUGAUAUAUCUGCACUUGAAGUAAAAACGUUAGUAUGCAAAGUCUCAUAACUAGACUGUAUUUCCUGCUCAGAAGCUGACUUUCCAUACAUCAUGCAAGGUUCUUUGUCAAUUUCUUCUUGAGACAGGGGAAUAGCAGUAUAAUUGUGAUUGAAAGGAGGAGGGACACUCUCAAAACAUAAUCCAACUUUUAUUUGAUUACCAUGAAUGAUAUCUCUCCAGUGCGAUUGACCUUCGAUUAAUUUUGCAAUCUUUUCACUUGACCCAUCGUAUUUUUUGAAAUUAAAUUCAGCUUUUUCAAAACAAUUUUUCAGUGUGUCAAGUUCCACGGUUAUAGAAGCAAGUUUUCUUUUGAGAUGAUCAUAGUUCUCGCAUUUGUUGCUGUAAUCCUCUUGCAAUUUUUUAAAGUCUUUUGUUUUAUUUUCUAAUUGAGUUUUUAAGGCUUUUGAUUUUUUCUAAGAGUAUAUCCCUCAUAUUUAAAGUCCUCGUUCUCUCUUUUGAUUAACUCAAUUUGAUCUCUCAAAAACAUAACGGUUUUAAUACAAGAUUGAGAACAACCGAAUUCACAAACCUCAGAUUUGACUGAUUCAGGAGUGGUCUGUACCAUGAAUGCAAACUGCAAAUUCAUCAUCUCCUCCUCUGGAUCUGCUUCUAUUUCUUCACUUGCAUCCUUGACUUGAGCAAGAUUUGCCUUUUCAGGUCCCGAAAUGUUUAGGGCCUGAACUUGAUCUUCCCAGUUAAACGAUUGAGCUACCAUUGCCAUCUUUGCAGAUUGAUUGUUUGAAGAUGAUCCUCUGUUGUUGUUGUGAACAUAAGUUACUGGCACCAUGGUUCUUUCAGAGUUUGCUCGCUGAUCAGGUUUUGGACAUUCCCUUGAAAAGUGUCCUGGUUCGUGACAAUUAUAACAACGUAACUUUCCUUUGCUAAAACCCAUCUUUUUAUCUGAAUUUACACUCUAGUUGUUUUUCCAGUCUUUUUUGAGAAUUGUUUAGCCCUGAAUAUUGCCAUUGCCAUUUGCCAAGUAAUAUCCAUCUCUUCUACAUCUUCAAGAUGGAUUUGAUCAAGAUUAGUGAAUGAGAGUUGUGGAGAAAGGUCUCCAGCAACAAAAGCAUUAUAGCAAUUCACCAACCCAGUAGCUAGAGCCAUAUUUUCCUCCUUUUCCUUUGUAAACGAACUUUGGGAACCAAUUUCAUGAGUUUGAACUGAAACACUUGUGGAAGAACUAACACAAGAACCAACUUGAGAUAUGUUUUGAGGGAUUUGAGUUUGUUGCGUUUUAGGUAUGUUGUAUGGUAUGUUUUGACGAGCUGCAAAAGAUUGAACUUGUGGAACCUGGAUUUGAGUAUUUUGAUGGGUGGUGAAACUUGAGAAGGCAGUGUUGUUGUUUUGAAUUCCAAGAUUGGCUGAAGAGUACGAAUUGACAUGGUUGAUUUCUCUUUGUUUAUCAUCAAGAUCGCAAGCUUUGAUGAUUGCCAUUGUUUCAGACAAGCUUAAACGGUUCAGGUCUUUUGUCUUUUUAAUCACCGAGACAUUCAUGUCCCAUGAUUUUGGAAGAGAAUUUAGUAAUUUCUUGUUGAUUUCAGACCUAGUAACCAUCACACCUGCGAAGCUCAUUUUAGUGGUUAGUGUGAUAAAUCUUUGCAAUUGAUUUUCCAACGUGUCUCCCAAUACAUAAUUGAACAUGUUGAAUUUCUGUCGGAGCAUGUCUUGUCGACUUUGCUUCAUGUCUUCAUUUCCUUCAUAGACUUCUAUGAGUGCUUCCCACAAUGCUUUUGUUGAUGUAUAUUCACGAAACCCUUGUGCAAUCUUAGGAGACAACGCCAUAGUGAGUGUGGCAAGUGCCUUUUCUUAUUCUUCAACUCUUUCAAAGUCAUCAUCAGUGUAAUUUUCAAUCUGUUUGUCAAUUACCGUGCCAUCUUCUAGAGUAGAAGUAAUCCUAAUUGGUCCUCUUAAAAUGCUUCUCCAAAUUUUGAAAUCCUUCAUUUUGAUGUAUUUUUCAAUUCGGUAUUUCCAUUCAGGAAAUCCUUCACCUGAUAGCAAUCUAGGAAUACGAGUAGUGGUUCCUAUAAUUGCAUCCAAAUCUUGAUGAGCAAUCAUACUUUGACAUUCCAUUUGAGCAAUCUUCAACCGCACACUAACACUCAAGCGCACACUAACACUCAACCGCACACUAACACUCAACCGCAAACAAAUCUUAACUGCACACACUUUCCAACCGUACACGUGUAACCGCAUACAAUUUAACAACAAACACUUCACUUGUAACCGUACACACUUCAGCAUCAAACACCAACCGCACAAACUUUAACAACAAACACCAACCGCACACAAAAAAUAUCAACAACACAAACUUCAACAGCAAACACCAACCGCCCACAGCAAAUAUCAAUCACACACAAGGUAACCGCACACUUCUUCAAAGGAUACGCUCCACCGCACACACUAUUGGCAACAAACCUUCAACAGUUGGCAGCAAACCUUCAACAGUUGGCAGCAAACCUUCAACAUUUCUUCGAUAAAAAUUCUUAAAAAAUAGUGAUUUUUUUUUGCCCUCUCACACUAAAAAAUAACUUCAAUUGAUACCAAAUUGGCUUUGAUACCAAUUGUUAGUCCCAAUACUGAGGAUCCAAUUUAGUAAACAGCGAUGUUAAUUGCAUAUAAAUUGAGAUUGAGAUGAAGAAGAAGUAGAAUCAAGCAUGCACACAUCUAUUGCCAUUAAAUUUCAAGUACAUCUUGAUAAAGUACAACUACUGCAGAGUUUUGACACAAAGCCAAAAAGUACAAUCACUGCAAAAACGACACUAUCACCGAUACAAAAUGAUGGUUAGCUCAAACCACAAAAUUAUGUUCUUUCAAUUUGCCAUUAUCCUUGUCUUGUGACUAUGGUUUUGAAAAUUCACAUGGAUAAGAACACAUACCCCAGUAAAUCUAAGUGUCAUAAGGUUUCUCUCCGAUUCAUGAAAAUGAUGGUGAGGAAACACUUUCACUAAGCAGAUUUUAGCUAGAUAGCAAUUGUAAUAUUUGCAUUCUCAAAGCCGUUAGUAGAGCAUGCGUGGUUUACCGGCACACUAACCUAGACUUUUGAGAAGUGGCAAAAAGGUCUAACCAUUAUGAUUAGGACAUCCCUCUUCAUAAUUGUUUAGACACACAAGUGUGCUAUCUAAGGGAAGGUGUAUGAUUUUGAUAAUGCUUAAUCAAAAAACAAUCUAGUAUCAGAAAUCUGAACUUUGGUAAGAAAGUCAGUUGAUUUCUGAGUACAUGUCAAAGCUAGUGGGAGCAUAAGUGUUAUGCUAAUAAUCAUCAUGUUAGUGGGAGCAUGAUAAUUAUGAUAAAGGUUGCAAGUUAGCAAUGUUAAUUAUAGAAAACAAAAGGUUUCAAUUGGGAAAAAGUUGUUUUGCUAUAAUUAAGGGAGAGGAAAUUAUACUUCAUCUCAAAUCUAUAAGCUUAGAUCGUGAGGUUUUAAUCAUUUAGUCAAGGAUAUAUAUGAAUUUCAUGUUGGAAUGGCUCAACAUAAGGAAAUUUUGUAUAUGGGUCCAUUAUUUGCGUUCUAAAAUUCGAUUAUGAUUACGACAUCCCUUUUCAUAAUCUGAAUUAUGAGAACUUGGCAAAUAGAAAUGGAAGUGUUAUAGCAAAUGACUGGUUUAGUCUUUAUGUGAGACAUCAUGAAUCGUGUCCCUUAUGCUUCGGAUAUAGGAUCGAUUACAUGUGCUAUAUUCAUCCUUUCUAAAAUUUUCCAAAUGCCUGGGGCAUUAAGUAGGGAAAAGGUCUAGAAUUGGCUAUGAUUAAAAG